UCAUUUUCAGAGGUAUGAGUGGAGCUGAUAUUAGUGAUCUGAAAUCAAAGCUCACUCUUUCAUAUGUCCACAUGAACUAACCCAUAUUUUAUAAUACCAUUCUGACAGUAACAUUUGCCCGUUAUAACUUACACUAAUAUUGCACAAAUAUGUUCAGUCCCUAUUGAAAGAGAUUUUGGGGGUGAGAAGUUGAUUAAAAAUCAAAACAAUAUAAUUAUUUAGAAGCUCAGACAAAUCAGAAUGCCUGAUUUGAACAGGCAGUGAGCACAUGGCAGAGAAAACAUGAUUUUAUUGCAAGACAACCUCAUGAUUUGGUAUUUCUAAUUCUUUGUGUGGGAUCAGGAAUUAGUUUUGUGUUGCCUGAGGUGCCAGGAUACCUUCUUGUGGUGAAGUUCACAGGUGCUCUGCCUCUCUCUCCUCUCACACACAUUACCAUGGUAGCUGAAUGCUCCUCCAAAGUAUAUCUAGAGAAUAGUCUGUCCAUCCCUCCAUCCCUGCUCCUCACAUACAGAAUGACCUUGAGUGAAAAUCCCUGCACUGCCUUCACCACAGCUCCUCAAGGACUUAACAAUGCCUACAGGAAAGGCUGAAGAUCACUGACCUGCAUUGUCUUCCUCUGCAUCUCUACAAGCCCCCAGAGCUGAAGCCAGCACCAUGAUAAGGAGUGUGAUGCUGAGGUCAGCAAAGCUGAGCUCUUUUGGGGAAAUCCUGUCAUCUGCAGAAAGUGAGACAAAACCAGAUCUCCCUUUCUCUCACUCACCACAGAAGCAUGGCAGACAUGGUCCAAUGCUCUGGCACUGGAGCAGAUCCUGAAAACUAAUUAAUUACAACAUGAUGGGGAUUUGCCAGAAAAAUCUGUUCCAAUUAAAAUCUGUCAACACAAAUUUGCAAAGGAGCAAUGAUGAUUACAAUUGCACAUUGGGUGGAGCUAAUAAAACAUGUCUCCUGUAUCCCCUGAACAUGACUGUACAAUUACUGACUUGCUGUGGUCCCAGCAAACAACUGAGAUCCUGUUGUGUCAUGUGCUUUCCAAAGAGAUGAUACAGAUUGUUCCUGCU